GGGGAUGGAACAGGGCUGCAUUAGCCCAUUCUCUUCGUUCAAAAUAUAAAUGUUGCAAAGUCUUCUUUUUUAUCGCUCAAAAAUUCUUCUUUUCACUAAACCUCACAUUUUCCAACUCUCAAGUUAGACCGCAGCAUGGUAUAGACGGCGGUGACGAUAGAGUGGUAGAAUAGUUAACUAGAUUGGCAACGAUGGUGGAAGACAUUCUUUGCUUCAGGUUCUGUGGCUCUUUACGUCUUCCUAUACUGCAUCAACCACUUGGUCUUUGACCUGCAGAGUUUGAGUGGACCAGUCUCAGCCACGCUUUACCUUGGCUAUUCACUGUUUAUGGCCAUUACAACUAUGUUGUAUAGAUGAGGUUCUUGAAACUAUGCAAAAGGUUAAUUGGUAUAACUUCUACCAAGUCUUUGUAUCUUGAUUAUAUCGCAGAGUAAGACAACAGAUGGUGUUUCAUUCUUUGUCUAAAAUUGUUGUCAAACAGUUUUAUGUUGAUGGAAUCUGCAGUGUGUUCUGCUUCUGUGUGUUUCCUAAAGUUGUGUAUUCAACUGUUAAGAUCAUUAUGUUUCAAGCAUUUUAGUUUGAGUUUCUU